CACAACGGACACUAAUGUUUUUGUCACUUUUUAUGGAAUCAAACUCAAAGUAAGAUUCCUCCACCUGCCAUGGCUCCCAUCUUCCACUUGCUCCCUACUCUCACUACAGAUCACAAUGUCACCUGCCAACAUCAUACUCCACAGACCCCUGCCUGACCUCAUCAGCCAAUUUGUCCAUCAUCACAGCCAACAAGAAGGGGCUCAGAGCAGAUCCCUGAUUUACUAACGAGGGAUAAAGCUUGAUUUUGAAAAUUGGUACCAGUACUCUUCUUCCUCAGACAUCCUCCCACUCUCCAAGACUGCACUAAACAAUCUGGUCAAAAAUUCCUCUCUCCUAGACAUCUCCAUAUCUCCACAGGUAUGUCAUCCUAAACCAACUUCCUUUCAACUCUUUAGUCUCUUCAUAACUGCCUUCACUUACUCCUUACAAAUCUUCUGCUCUUCCUGAUUCAUUUUCUAUUUUCAUAUCCAUAAUGUUAACCAAACAAGUUAGGAAUAAAAGUACUAACUAAAAGUCAACAACUUCUUUAGUAUAUUGUGGGAUGAUACAUCGCAGAGUGUGCAGGGAUCUAUUGUUGUUCUUGAGUUGUCACCGCCUAAUAACACUGACUCUCAGUGCCACUCAGGUGACCACUGAACACAGCCAGAGGCUUUGUGUCAGCUUUUUCAGUUUGUAAAACAAAUAAAAUUGCAAAAAAAGUAACAAACAGGACAUAAGAAUAAAAAACGAAAUACAAAUAUAAUAGAAAAACAUGAAGUUAAAUCAAAACUUCUCAGGGGAACAUUUAGAGACCAAAAUGACAAGUUCUUGCAAAUCUAAAAGGAGCAUACUAAUGAACAAACCAGAUAAAUAGUUAGGAGAUAGUCUAUUAAGCUUUUGUUUAUGAGCACUAAAAUAAGCCCCUAUUUUCUUUUGUGUUUUAGCAGUUGCACAGAACUUUGGUGUCCAGUGAAACACACUGAAGCAGCUAUCAUAAUGAGCCCAUGCUGGUGCUGCCAUGUUAUGUGGAGUUUACAGCAAUCGAUGUAGCCUGACUGAUAAUUGGUUUUUAAUGCGCUUGCUGAGGAGUCUCGCCUAAACGACACCUUCUGCACCAUUUAAAGUUGAUGUGGCACACAUUAUUAAACGUAAAUAGCAGUAAAGUGAAAACCAAUUUCUGUCCCUACAGGAAGAUUUUCCUGUUUCUUUAAGUUAAAUUAAAAGCAUUCAAUAAAUUCUUACAUUUGCCAUUCUGUAUCUUUCUUGUAUCUUGUAUUGAGUUUUGUUCUAUUUGUGCCUGUUUAGUUUUCUCUGGCUUCCUCACACAGGCAACCACCUUAAUUAGUUAUUAUUUGUCUACAAUAAUUUCAUGGACAACCGUGUCA